GACGAACGCUGGCGGCGUGCCUAACACAUGCAAGUCGAACGGACAGGCCCUGCGCUUGUUGGGUGCUCGAGUGGCGAACGGGUGAGUAACACGUGAGUAACCUCCCCUUGUCUUAGGGAGAACUUCUGGAAACUCGGGCGAAUACCCGAUAGGAUCUACUGAUGCACGGUGGGGGAUGGUAAGAUUCGGCGGUUGGGGCUGGACUGGCGGCUUAUCAGCUUCUUGGGCGAGUAGUGGAUUACCACGGCUUCGACGGGUAGCCGGCCUGAGAGGUUAACCGGCGUCCAGGCGCCUGCGAGACGGCGCAGUAGCCUACGGGAGGCAGUAGGCGGGAGUAUGACGCAGCGGGGGCAAGCCAGAGACGGCAGCGCCGCGUGCGUGAUGACCGCCUUCGGGUUGUAAACCGCUUUCUCCGGUGACGAGGCGUGAGUGACGGUAAUGGGUAAGGAAGCAACGGCUAACUACGUG
rnacentral:rRNA from 1 species